CAGGUGGUAACUACUUGUCAUUUCAGCCAGGCCAAAAACAGAUGAAGGAAACAAGGGCACUCACCUUGGGCCCUGGCUGCCCCUUCUCACCCUUGUCACCCUGUGAAGGAAGAGGAAUGGAUCAGACAGUGAUGGGUUGUCAACCUCCACUGAAACAGAUUUCCUCUGCUGCUGUUGGACUAUGCAUAUCUUCACAGGAGCAUACAUACCUGCGGUCCUCUGGGUCCAGGGUAGCUGAAGCCAGGCCUGCCUCUAUCACCCUUUGGUGACAUAAAUAAAUAAAUAAAUAAAUGUAAAUAAUAAAUAAAUAAUUGUCAGAA